GAGGGGAGCGAGAGGGCGACGCCAGGGAGACGCUUCGGGUGCUGCCAAGUCGAGCCUGUGGAAGGACGAUUCGGCUUCUAGUGCGUGGCCCCAGAAGGGCAGAAAUAGAAUCAGUGGGCGGAAAUUGCAGGGAGGCCUUGAACUGAUGACCCUGAGAUCAAGACCUGAGCGGGUAUUGAGUCAAACGCUUAACGGACUGAGCCACCCAGGCGCCUCAUAGACUCCUGGAUUUUAGAAGAGAAGAUCAGCUACAGAACUCUAACUUGAGAAUGCUGUGAAAACAAAAUUUUUACGCUGGAUCGAGACAUCAGUGGAAAAUGAAGAUACUAUUACUAAUGUGGCUAAGAAAAAGAUGAAAACUAUCAGAUGUGCUUAAAGCACAUCUUCAGCCUUAGAAUGCUUACUGUAUUAAAGCCAGCUGUUUUGUGAAGUUUGAGAAUGUUUCAUAAAACAUUUCAUCAUAUUGUGUUUAAAAGACAAAGUGAUUUUGUAAUGUUUUUACAUCUCAGUAACAAGUCUAUUCAACUUUUAUAUACAUGAUUCCGAUGUGUUUGUAAACUUGUACAGAAGUAGGCAAGUGGCACUACCUAUGUGUAUUGGUAAUACUGAGUUUAAACAAGCAGCCUGUAAGUCACAACUGUUCUGUCUCCUAUGUGAUGUCCAUAAUGCAGGGCAGGGAAAUGACCUGGUGCUUUAAUUUCUUACUGUAGACUUCAAGAAAAUAGGUUAAUGAUGGUUGUUCUUGUGUAAUUUGCAACUGCAGAAUAUACAUUAGCCAGCAAAUGUCAGGAUGUGAUAGAUCUUAAGACUGAAGUGUGAGAAUAAAAUAAACAGAGGAGUUUAUGAAAAGGACUGAAGGUUCUCUUGCUCUUCUGUGCUCAACACACUUGGGUCACACUGGCCUUCUUUCUUCCUUAAACAGAUAUGCUUUAACACUUUUUUGAAGUCUCCCCAUUCUUUUUACCUGGCCAAUUGCUAUUCCAAUUUUAUUUGAUGUAUCACUUCCUCAGGGAGCCCUCCCUGCUUCCUGACCAGCCCAACAGGUCAGGGCUCCCCUAUUUCAAGUUCUCACAGCUUCCUGCACGUCACCCCACAGCAGUUUAUAUAUGUAAUUAUUGAUGAAAUUAGGUAAUGCCUCCCCUACUAGAUUUUAAGCCUCUUAAGGAUAGGUACCAUGCCUGAAUUCCCUUCUGUAUCACUCAGCUACCAGUGCCUGCUCCUCUGUAGUCACUGAAUAUCUGUGACUGUGCACACCUCCACCACACAGAAUGGGAAUUAUUUUUCUGAGGCCUAUACAACAGGUAUUGUCCAGAAAGUCAAGAAUUUUUCCACCUCCAAUUCAGCAGUCGUUUAUUCAGCCCCUUCUUUAGUAAAGACUCUAGGUGGGACAGAAAAAAGUGUAAGAUAGCACUUGUAUUCAAGUAGUCUUUCAGGAAGAGAGAAAAAGACAAUGACAAAAGAUAGAAAUCUUGUUUCCCCAUAGUGGCGAUUCCUGCUAUAGAGUACCCAUGUUCAGAUUCUUACUCGUUUCCCAUUAAGAGUCCAGUCUGUGACCCAGCCCACCUUGGUCACAGUAGCUGUGAGUUCAAGAAAGAAUCUUUCUUAGCUUCCAAACCUUUAUCCUAAUUUGUCUGCCUGGAGAAUUCUUUGACAAUACACUUUCAGUUUUUAAGAACAGCACUCAGGACUCCCACUAUUAGAGGUCUUCUCAAGGCUAAAUACCUCUUAAUUCUUUCAAUCAUUUCUCUCGUAGCAGGCUUUCCAGUCACUUCCAGUACUCUACCAACUCAACUCUGGCAAGUUGGCAACUUUUUUUUUUUUUAAGAUUUUAUUUGAUAGAAAGAGACAUAGCGAGAGAGGGAACACAAGCGGGGGGUGGGGGUGGGGGGGUGGGAG